AUAGUGUAUAGUGUAUAGUGUACAGUGUAUAGUGUAUAGUGUAUAGUGUACAGUGUAUAGUGUACAGUGUAUAGUGUAUAGUGUAUAGUAUAUAGUGUAUAGUGUAUAGUGUAUAGUAUACAGUGUAUAGUGUAUAGUGUAUAGUGUACAGUGUUUAGUGUAUAGUGUAUAGUGUAUAGUGUAUAGUGUAUAGUGUACAGUGUUUAGUGUAUAGUGUAUAGUGUACAGUGUUUCGUGUGUAUUGUACUGUACUGUGCUCUCUCUCCUCUCUCAGGCUCUCACUCGUAUUGAGCUCUAUGAGGAGUAUAAUUACCUCCCCGUGGUGAUCGGGAGCAGCGUGGGGGGGCUGGUGCUGCUGGCACUCAUCACAGCGGGACUCUACAAGGCUGGUUUCUUCAAGAGUCAGUAUAAGGAUCUGAUGAACAGUCCAAGUGAUGAUGGAGGGGUCCAGGGAGAUGAGGGGAGCCCCCCUGCUGCACCCGUGAAAUGAGAGUAGGAGUCUGAAGCAUCAUCUUCUGAAACAUCAUCUUCUGAAACAUCGUCUUGUGAAACAUCAUCUUCUGAAACAAUCUUCUGAAACAUCAUCUUCUGAAACAUCAUCUUCUGAAACAUCAUCUUCUGAAACAUCAUCUUCUGAAACAAUCUUCUGAAACAUCAUCUUCUGAAACAUCAUCUUCUGAAACAUCAUCUUGUGAAACAUCAUCUUCUGAAACAAUCUUCUGAAACAUCAUCUUCUGAAACAUCAUCUUGUGAAACAUCAUCUUCUGAAACAAUCUUCUGAAACAUCAUCUUCUGAAACAUCAUCUUCUAAAACAUUAUUCUGAAUGUUAAAGCCAGACUGUUUCUCAUCCCAUAGACCCCAGUGUUAAAGCCAGACUGUUUCUCUCCAUAGACCCCAAUGUUAAAGCCAGGCUGUUUCUCCUCAUAGACCCCAAUGUUAAAGCCAGGCUGUUUCUCAUCCCAUAGAC